rnacentral:rRNA from 1 species
UACGAGUACCCCAAGCGUUAUCCGGAAUCAUUGGGCGUAAAGGGUGUGUAGGCGGUAUGGUUAGUCUUCUGUCAAAAUCUCGGGCUCAACCCGAGACCUGCGGAGGAAACGGCCAAACUUGAGGGUGUGAGAGGUGAAUGGAACUCAUGGAGUAGGGGUGAAAUCCGUUGAUAUCAUGGGGAACACCGAAAGCGAAGGCAAUUCACUGGCGCAUUUCUGACGCUGAAACACGAAAGCGUGGGUAGCGAACGGG